GCCAUGUACCACACAUGUUGUUAGCUUGAAGAUCAAGCUAACUAUGUGGCCCACACGUAGAAGAACUUGCCUUGUAAGUCAAGGCAUGUGUCCUACAAAGUCAACACAUAUUGGAGGUCCUAUAGAACGUCGCCACGUAGCCCCUAGUUAGAUAAUAUAUAUAGAGACAAGAGUGAAGCCUUCUUCACUCUUGUCAACUCUUUUCUAGCUUCCACUCUAGUUUCAAGGGUCUCUAGUUUCUUUGUCUUUUGGCAAUAGUGUCACGGACACAAAAUACAGACUUGAAAUCUAACAAGAAGUUCAAGAAGAAGUGGCAGAACUAGAUUAAACAGAUGAGUACAAGAACAACACCAGAAAGGUGAGCUAGAACUCCAAGAG
rnacentral:lncRNA from 1 species